CUUUGAAGCUCCAGGUGCUUCCAUAGUAUAUAGGUGUGUUACAGUGCAGUGCUUAAGAUAUAACAGAAAUCACAAUGAAGGGAUUAAAGCAAGCUCCUCAAGGGGGACAUGGGAUGUCUACUUUCCAGAGACAUUGGCCAUUAUUUUGAAAAUUCGUGGCGAUCGAGGGAGGUCCCAGAUGAUUUGAAAAAGGCAAAUAUAGUGCCCAUCUUUUAAAAAGGGAAGAAGGUCUCACCUCAGUCCCUGGAAAAAAUCAUGGAGCAGGUCCUCAAGGAAACCAUUUUGAAACACUUGGAGGAGAGGAAGGUGAUCAGGAAUAGCCAACAUGGAUUCACCAAGGACAAGUUAUGCCUGACCAACCUGAUUGCCUUCUAUAAUGAGAUAACUGGCUCUGUGGAUAUGGGAGAAAUCAGCUAAAGCUCCAGCAACUUCCCUUUCCCAAGGUUGGCAUUAAAUGAACAUGGAUACAUACCAAUGAACAGAUGCAUUUCAAGCCUUUUCUUCCACCAUGGUGCAUAUCAUGGCAGCAGCGAAGUAGCUACCUGCCUGCAUGACAAGUUCUCAGAAACUGAAAGCAUCGUUGUCUCAGCUCCUAUGCCCUGUGGUGACUCUCUCUUGAUGUUCUCUACAAUCUUUGGAUGCCUUUCUGCU